GUGGAGUCACCGAGCCUGGAGCUGUUCGAGGAACGUUUGGAUUUUGUGUUGAGGGACGUGGUUUAGUGAGUACUAUCGGUGAUAGGUUAAACUGGAUGAGCUUGUAGGUCUUUUCCAACGUUGGUGAGUCUGUGAUUCUGUGAUUUGUGUUGGUGCUGAGAGCCCCUCCCUGCACACAGGAUUCCAGGUAAACCCCCCCCAGUGCAGAGCAGAGGAGAGAAUCUCCCUCGUCUUUCUGACCACGCUCUUGAACGCACCUCACGGUCCCAUUGGCCUUCUUGGCUACCAGGGCACACUGCUGCCUCACGGUCCCCCUGCUGGCCACCAGGUCUUUCUCCUCAGGGCACCUUUCCAGCUCCCAGCCUGUAUUGAUGUGUGUGGUUAUUCCUCCCCAGGUGCAGGACCCUACGUUGCCUGCAUACAACCUCAUCACGUUCCUCACUGCCCAGCUCUGCCUGUCCAGGUGUCACUGAAUGGCAGCACAGCCUUCUGCUGUGCCACAGCCACUCCUCACAGCUUCGUACCAUCAGCAAACACUGAGGGUAAACUCUGUCCCUUCAUCCUUAUCGUUAAUAAAGACGUUGAUCAAGACAGGGGUAUGCAUCUGAACGGCUGUUUUCAACCCUUUUUUUACGAACUUUUUUUUUUAUUAUUAUUUUAAAUUAUUAUUUAGUUAGUUUAGUUUUGGUUUUGGGAGAGGGUGGGAGCUGGUUUCUGUUCCACAUCUCACAGCACCAAGCUUCUGCAAAGUAACGAGUCCAAAGCACAAGUGGAAACUACCAGUAGGAGAUGAAUCAUCUCAUUAAAAAAAAAAAAAAGUAGAAAAUACCACUUCUUGAUCAUACCACUGCCAAACCCCAGCACUUCUAUGAAGCUUCCUAAAUCACGGUUCUGUUUUUCUUAAACAUUUGUCUCUUGGAAUCUACUUUCUUGCCCAUACCCUUUAAGAUGUGCCUUAUCAUAUUUUCAAGCUUAUCUUUAAUAUAACAGGUAGGAGUUUGGAGGUUUGCUGAUUUUAGCACAUUUUCCUAAGGAAAGGGGGUUUCACUGCCACAUAGGUUGCUUCUUAUCCCUUCUGCCAUAACUUUUGAACCAAAAGUUGGCAGAUUCUGACCAAGUCUGACACAAAGAUUCAAAUAUAUUAAUUUCCUGUUUGAUGAAAACAACACAGAGGCUAUAAAAUAAGUUUCUGGUGUCCAGAAGGCCAACGGUUUUAUGCAAUGGUGAGUGAUGAAACCAAUGCCUAAUUUUUUUUUUAAACACUUAUUAUUUUUUCUACCAGUUGUCCAGCCUUUGUUUUCUCCCUUAGUUUGAGGUUUGUACAUGUUACAGUCUGCUGUAAUAAAUCAGCACUGGAAAGGGCUGUAGGUAAACCUGUAAAUCUCAUUUACAGAAAUUCUCCAGCCAUCUUUUCUGCUCUUCCACCUUUUCCUUGAGAUUGUUGGAUUUAUAACAAACAUAUAUUUUCAUUCCAUAUGGCUGUAAUGGUCAAUCAGCAUUUAGCUGUUGCUUUGGAUGCUCUUAUAGGAUGCAGUAGUUAGAAGGUGUGCAGAUUUUUUGUCGUGCUGAUAGAAUUGAUUAGGAAUGCCAAAGUGCAGAAGGGGGAACUGAACAACUCUGUAGUGGAGGAAAUGUUUGCAGGCAGAGGAUUUCAGUCCAAUGCUGAAAAAUAGAAGGGGGUAUAGAGAAUGAGCCAAGCUUAUGGACAAAACAUGGCUUAAAGAAUGGUUGAAAUAACUCCCAAAAAUGAAAGCAAAAGAAGCUGGGCUGAGCAGCCUCCUUCUGCAUUAGAUUUCCAUUACAAAGUGAGCCACAUAAUACAUAGUGGAUCAAGUGUGAUGGUACCAAUGCUCCCAGGAGAUCCCCAUCAUGUUCUGUCCCCGGUGUGAUGGGUCACAUGUUGUAUUUUCCAGUAUAUAUCUCUAAGAUUCAGUUCUGUUUGUAUAUUUGUGUAAAAAUAGAUUCAUUCAUUCUGAAACUGAAGGGAAAUGGAAUGUUUUUGAAACAAAAGAAAUCCAGAAGACAUCUGUGUAAUGGUUAAUACCAUCCACAGUAUGGAUAUAUAUUACACAGAUUAGCAAAUUUCAAUCCAGAAAGAUUCACCUAGCAGUAAUUCUAAUGCAUUAACACAGGUCUAAUGACUGUCUCUUUGAUGAAGAGGGAAAGCUGAGCCUGGCUGAGUGGAGAAGUGAGACCAGGGAACGCUGGAAAUAACAACGAGGUCACCACUCGACACCACAGCAGCCCGCAUCAAGGAGGAAGGAUGGUUUGAAGGACAGUUUGGAAACAGAAUGGAAACCAACAAAUUUAUUUGCCCUGAAGAGAAAGGGGUUGAGUUCAGGAAAGAUGAGAGAUAACAUCCAAAUGUCAUCACUGUGAAUAUGGUGCAGUACCUCUCUCUCAGUCCAGGGGAUCCACUUCUCUUGUAAUCUGGACACAUUACAUGUUUUCAAGGGAAAUGAGGCUAAAAAUGGAAGGAGAAGAAUCUUCAGGCAGUAAAGAAGACAACUUGCAAACAGCAAAACUUUCUGCGGCCAGCUGUAGGGUGAAGAAAAAGCUCUGCAUGCUGUUUGCAACAGAAACUGAGCACAUAGCCAUUCCUGGAACCAACAGCUGUGUUCGAGGGAGAUGGAAACCCCCACUGUGAAGGGGGGUAAUUUCCAAUUGCUCAGGAUGGAAUAUUUCCUAGCUCUGCUGGAGAAGCAGCACCUUGGGCUCGGAAGUGCUGGUAAGAGAGUUUUGCAGAGGGGCCUCAGUGCUCAAACACCUUGAGGGAAAGUCUUGAGCUUAUUGCAUUGUUUGACUGACCCACAUCUGGUUGUAACUAGAAUAAGAGGUUCCCCCUAUUCCUGUUAAACUGGUGUGUCAGCCCCACAGCUGCUUUGCAGAAUGCAGUGAGAACAGUGGUUUUCAUCAGCCCAACACCACCUUACAAAGCAUGGCCUGCCUCAAUAAAAGUGAGAUAAAGCCACGACGGGGUAAAAGAACUUAAAGUUAAAAGCUCUGCCUUCUCCUAUUUACUUUUUUUUACACAUGGGCUCAAUUUUCACAUAAGGGAAUAUCUACAGAGCUUAAAUUUUUGGUGGUGGAAAUAGUAUUGAAACAUUACAGUUAUUUCCACCUUUCUACCACACAGAGAUUCAGUCAAGAAUUUGUAUUUCCGUUCUCAGUAAAGAUAGAAAACAUGAUAAGCUGUGGAACCCUCACGUGAAGCACAAUUUAAAUAUAAAAUGUAGAAGAACGAACCUUACGUCAAACAGAAUAACCAGGACCUACACUAACACUGCAGGGAAGAGACCAAAAAAAAAAACAGUUUUGAGGCAAAUACAAAGGACUUUUCUAAGUUUGCAAGUUCAUUAAUCCCAGCUACAAGAUGCUGACCUGCAGGGAAAUGAGGAAUCACAGAAUCACAGAAUCGUAGGGGUUGGAAGGGACUUCCAGAGAUCAUCGAGUCCAACCCCCCUGCCAAAGCAGGAUCCCUACACCAGGUAAAAGCUGCAUAUCUGGUAGGAAAAUCAGAUAAAUCAUCACAGAGAAAAUCCUAAGCUGUCCUGCUAGUCUUGGGCUUUUUAUUUGCAGUAUGUGGCUGAAAACAGUGGUAUUUCACACAACAGCUGCAUUUCUACCACUUACAUAUGCAAGAGACCUGACUUUUUGGGUUAGUUUGAAGGG